UACAGAGGUCCCGAGCGUUGUUCGGAUUUAUUGGGCGUAAAGGGUGCGUAGGCGGCGGAGUAAGUUGGGUGUGAAAUCCCGGGGCUCAACCUCGGAAUGGCAUUCAAUACUGCUUCGCUAGAGUACUGGAGAGGAGGCUGGAAUUUACGGUGUAGCAGUGAAAUGCGUAGAUAUCGUAAGGAAGGCCGGUGGCGAAAGCGAGCCUCUGGACAGUUACUGACACUGAGACACGAAGGCCAGGGGAGCAAACGGG
rnacentral:rRNA from 1 species